UGAGCACAGUAGAAUUCUUUACUUACAGAAAGUUAAAAACAUUUUCCAAUCACAUCACAAUUGAAUGUCCAUUGUAAAAGUGUGGUUUGCUUGACUUAUCCGGUUUUAAUUGAGGGAGUGCCAGUCUCUUUUUUAAGAACAAGAACGAAUCCAGAGAAGACCCCAAAGGUAAGAGAGCAAUACGACUCCAGUAGAACUCCGAUGAUAUUACUGCCAAAAACACUGCCCGUUCGUCCCAGCAUUAGGCAAAUGCAGACGGCUUUUCCGCGCAGGUGGGUGGGCACAAGAUCGACGACGGCACCACUCAGGAUCGAUACGCAAAGUCCUGGCAGUACCAGAUAUAAACAGAAGCAAACCACAAUGACGACCUCGUCCUUAAUGAAGAUCAAGGCCACUGCACAGGCUCCGGCCAGCGUAAGACCAAUGGAAAUUGAGGCCUUUCGACCAAUUGUGUUUAUCACCAGACCCAUCAGUAUAUAGCCCACAAUCAAGGCCGAUCCAUAGGUGAUCGUGUCUAUGUAACUCUUGGUGUUUAUAUGAUCAUCGCAAAUCUGCAAAGUUAUUUAAGAGAGUUAAAUAUAGUCUACUAAUGUGGUUUUCGAAUCUGUAUAUUAGGUUUUUAACCUAUGAAUAUAAAUAAAAAUAUAACUACUUACUUUAUUGGUUGCAUUAGCCUGCAUUUGAUCAAUUGAUGCAUCAAUAACUUCACAAACUGUCAUUGAAUCAUCGACGGCAUUCGAACCCAAACGAUUUUGUAUUUCUGGAUACCAAAGCCCCAUUCCCGAAGAACUG